CUACGGGAUGCUGCAGUGGGGAAUAUUGGACAAUGGGGGAAACCCUGAUCCAGCAAUGCCGCGUGUGUGAAGAAGGCCUGCGGGUUGUAAAGCACUUUCGGUUGGGAGGACUGCUUCUAGCACUAAUAUUGUUGGAAGUUGACGUUACCUUCAGAAGAAGCACCGGCUAACUCCGUGCCAGCAGCCGCGGUAAUACGGAGGGUGCAAGCGUUAAUCGGAAUUACUGGGCGUAGAGCGCGCGUAGGCGGCUAGAUCAGUCGGGUGUGAAAGCCCCGGGCGUAACCUGGGAACUGCAUCCGAUACUGUCUAGCUUGAGUACAGGAGAGGAGAGUGGAAUUCCACAUGUAGCGGUGAAAUGCGUAGAUAUGUGGAGGAACACCAAUGGCGAAGGCAGCUCUCUGGCCUGAUACUGACGCCGAGGUGCGAAAGCGUGGGGAGCAAACAGGAUUAGAUACCCGAGUAGUC
rnacentral:rRNA from 1 species